UACGGGGGGGGCAAGCGUUGUUCGGAAUUACUGGGCGUAAAGGGCGCGUAGGCGGCCUGCUAAGUCGAACGUGAAAUCCCUGGGCUUAACCCAGGAACUGCGUCCGAUACUGGCAGGCUUGAAUCCGGGAGAGGGAUGCGGAAUUCCAGGUGUAGCGGUGAAAUGCGUAGAUAUCUGGAGGAACACCGGUGGCGAAGGCGGCAUCCUGGACCGGCAUUGACGCUGAGGCGCGAAAGCCAGGGGAGCAAACGGG
rnacentral:rRNA from 1 species